rnacentral:rRNA from 2 species
AUGAACGCCGGCGGUGUGCCUAAUACAUGCAAGUCGUACGCACUGGCCCAACUGAUUGAUGGUGCUUGCACCUGAUUGACGAUGGAUCACCAGUGAGUGGCGGACGGGUGAGUAACACGUAGGUAACCUGCCCCGGAGCGGGGGAUAACAUUUGGAAACAGAUGCUAAUACCGCAUAACAACAAAAGCCGCAUGGCUUUUGUUUGAAAGAUGGCUUUGGCUAUCACUCUGGGAUGGACCUGCGGUGCAUUAGCUAGUUGGUAAGGUAACGGCUUACCAAGGCGAUGAUGCAUAGCCGAGUUGAGAGACUGAUCGGCCACAAUGGAACUGAGACACGGUCCAUACUCCUACGGGAGGCAGCAGUAGGGAAUCUUCCACAAUGGGCGCAAGCCUGAUGGAGCAACACCGCGUGAGUGAAGAAGGGUUUCGGCUCGUAAAGCUCUGUUGUUGGAGAAGAACGUGCGUGAGAGUAACUGUUCACGCAGUGACGGUAUCCAACCAGAAAGUCACGGCUAACUACGUGCCAGCAGCCGCGGUAAUACGUAGGUGGCAAGCGUUAUCCGGAUUUAUUGGGCGUAAAGCGAGCGCAGGCGGUUGCUUAGGUCUGAUGUGAAAGCCUUCGGCUUAACCGAAGAAGUGCAUCGGAAACCGGGCGACUUGAGUGCAGAAGAGGACAGUGGAACUCCAUGUGUAGCGGUGGAAUGCGUAGAUAUAUGGAAGAACACCAGUGGCGAAGGCGGCUGUCUGGUCUGCAACUGACGCUGAGGCUCGAAAGCAUGGGUAGCGAACAGGAUUAGAUACCCUGGUAGU